rnacentral:pre_miRNA from 2 species
AUAAAGGAAGUUAGGCUGAGGGGCAGAGAGCGAGACUUUUCUAUUUUCCAAAAGCUCGGUCUGAGGCCCCUCAGUCUUGCUUCCUAACCCGCGC